UACGUAGGGGCAAGCGUUGUCCGGAUUUACUGGCGUAAAGCGCGCGUAGGCGGAACUUCAAGUCCGGUCUGAAAGCCCCGGCUCAACCGGGGAGGGUGGCUGGAACUGGGUUCUUGAGGGCGGAGAGAGGAGGGUGGAAUUCCGUGGUGUAGCGGUGAAAUGCGUAGAGAUCAGGAGGAACACCCGGGGCGAAGGCGGCCCUCGUGGCUCGACCUGACGCUGAGGCGCGAAAGCGUGGGAGCGAACGGG
rnacentral:rRNA from 1 species